rnacentral:rRNA from 1 species
UACGUAGGGUGCGAGCGUUGUCCGGAAUUAUUGGGCGUAAAGAGCUCGUAGGCGGUGUGUCACGUCGGCCGUGAAAACCUGCAGCUUAACUGUGGCGUGCGGUCGAUACGGGCAUCACUGGAGUUCGGCAGGGGAGAGCUGGAAUUCCUGGUGUAGCGGUGAAAUGCGCAGAUAUCAGGAGGAACACCGGUGGCGAAGGCGGGUCUCUGGGCCGAUACUGACGCUGAGGAGCGAAAGCGUGGGGAGCAAACAGG